rnacentral:rRNA from 1 species
GUAGUCUGCAACCCGGCCUACAUGAAGCUGGAAUCGCUAGUAAUCGCGGAUCAGAAUGCCGCGGUGAAUACGUUCCCGGGUCUUGUACACACCGCCCGUCACACCAUGGGAGCCGGAAAUGCCCGAAGUCAGUGACCCAACCGCAAGGAGGGAGCUGCCGAAGGUGGAGCUGGUAACUGGGGUGAAGUCGUAACAAGGUAAC